rnacentral:misc_RNA from 1 species
AAAAAAACUUUUAAUAAAAGAAUACAAAGAAUCACUAUAUAUAAACUUCCAUUCUAUGUUAUGUUAUGUAAACUUACAAUCAGGUACUCAGUGAAAUAGUCGACAUGUCCAUAAUUGAACGAUGUGUGUAGAAGCUGAUCAGAACACCACAUACGUACGAUUAAUUCCUUGCUUGGACCAUAGGAGAAGACAUAGGUGAAUGAGGAGAGUUCAUAAAAUCAUCCAAUCUCCUAAAUGACAAACUAAUUUCAAGUUUGCUCCUUGUUCUACAGUAUUGUUUCUUUGUUGCAACUUCAACUCCCUUAUUUGGUUGUAAAUAGACAAAAUGUCUAAUUCUUCUCAAUGCAAUCUUCAUUGUAGCAUCAUCCAUAUUAGCAAAACAAACCCUAAACCAACCUGGCUCUGAGCAAUGAAAUGAACAACCAGGUGAAACAUUAAGCUUCACUUUAUCAAUAAUUAUAUGCCAAAGUUUCAAUUCAUCAUCAAAUGUUGAAUUCUCAAGAAACCUUCUUAAAUCCAUCCAAAUAAACAAACCAGCAUUACUCUUCAAUGUUGUAAUUCCAACUUGACCUAAUCCUUUAGUAAACAAACCAUAUCUUUGUAACAAUCUCAUCGAGCUCUUCGCGAUGAAAUCUUCAACAAAGAUAGUGUCUAAUAACAUUGAAGCAAUCAAUCUUUGUGUUUGUGUUGAAACAAGUCCAAAACUUGACAUCUUACGUGCAAUAUUGACAACGGCAUCAUUGUACGAGUAAAUAAUCCCAACCCUAAAUCCAGGAAACCCUAGAUCUUUCGAUAGACUAUACACAAUGUGUACUAAAUCAUCGUUGCAUCCAACAACUUCACUCUUGACUUCUGAGAUACUGAUGAAUGAAGGUUGACUAAACGCGGUUGCUGCAUAGAUUUCAUCACAUACUAGAUGUAUGUUUUUGUCAUUGAUGAAUCUUAAUAUGUCUUUUAAUGUUUCCUUGUCCAAAAUUGUACCUAAUGGAUUUGAUGGAUUGUUUAUAAGUAAUCCUUUUACUUUGAUAUUUGAUUCUUGAGCUUUACUAUAUGCUUCUUCUAAGGCUUCUUUUGUUACCUUGAAAUUGUUAGAACUCUCACAAACAACAGGAAAAAGUUGUACUCCUGUUCUCCAUCUCAAAUCUCUAUCAAAUCCUGGAUAAUAUGGUGUAGGAACUAGAAAUGCAUCACCAGGAUCAGCCAAACAAAAUGCCAAACUUUCAUGAGCUCCUGUUGCUCCUCCACUCAUAACUAUUCUUUCUGGAUCAAAUCUCACUCUAUCUCCUCUCACUUUCUCCAUGAAUCUUGCAACUGCCUUUCUAAAUUCUGGCAAGCCAUGAUAGUCUUGAAAAAUAGCAGUAUCUUGAAAAUCUUGAACUCCUUCAUAUGUACAAAUUGAGGCUUUUGGGUUGUUGACUAUCCAUUCUUGAAUUAAAUCAAAACAAAGCUGAUUUUCAGCCAAACCCAUUUGAAUAACACCAUUAGGAUUUUGUGUUGGAUGAAAUGGAUCAUUUUCAUAAGCUUUCCAACCAUCAAAAUAAGCUGAAUUUUCUCCAUGUCCAUCAUUUGUGGCUAUCUUUGAAAUUAACCCCAUUUUUUUCUUAAUUUUUUUUAAAAAAAAACUCAAAGUUUAUCAAGAAAAAAAAAUUGGAAAUUU